rnacentral:misc_RNA from 1 species
GAUGAAGAACGCAGUGAAACGCGAUACGUAAUGUGAAUUGCAGAAUUCAGUGAAUCAUCGAAUCUUUGAACGCACAUUGCGCCCGCCAGUAUUCUGGCGGGCAUGCCUGUUCGAGCGUCAUUUCAACCAUCAAGCCCCAGGCUUGUGUUGGGGACCUGCGGCUGCCGCAGGCCCUGAAAACCAGUGGCGGGCUCGCUGUCACACCGGGCGUAGUAGAUUUUAUCUCGCUCAGGGCGUGCUGCGGGUUCCGGCCGUUAAAAAGCCUUUUUUACCCAAGGUUGACCUCGGAUCAGGUAGGAAGACCCGCUGAACUUAAGCAUAUCAAUAAGCGGAGGA